rnacentral:misc_RNA from 1 species
GAUGAAGAACGUAGCGAAACGCGAUAAGUAAUGUGAAUUGCAGAAUCCAGUGAAUCAUCGAAUCUUUGAACGCACAUUGCGCCCGCCAGCAUUCUGGCGGGCAUGCCUGUUCGAGCGUCAUUUCAACCCUCGACCUCCCCUUGGGGAGGUCGGCGUUGGGGACCGGCAGCACACCGCCGGCCCUGAAAUGGAGUGGCGGCCCGUCCGCGGCGACCUCUGCGCAGUAAUACAGCUCGCACCGGGACCCCGACGCGGCCACGCCGUAAAACACCCAACUUCUGAACGUUGACCUCGAAUCAGGUAGGACUACCCGCUGAACUUAAGCAUAUCUAAGCGGAGGA